rnacentral:rRNA from 1 species
GGUCCAGACUCCUACGGGAGGCAGCAGUGGGGAAUAUUGCACAAUGGGCGCAAGCCUGAUGCAGCCAUGCCGCGUGUAUGAAGAGGGCCUUCGGGUUGUAAAUUACUUUCAGCGGGGAGGAAGGGGUUAAGGUUAAUAACCUUAGCCAUUGACGUUACCCGCAGAAGAAGCACCGUCUAACUCCGUGCCAGCAGCCGCGGUAAUACGGAGGGUGCAAGCGUUAAUCGGAAUUACUGGGCGUAAAGCGCACGCAGGCGGUCUGUCAAGUCGGAUGUGAAAUCCCCGGGCUCAACCUGGGAACUGCAUUCGAAACUGGCAGGCUGGAGUCUUGUAGAGGGGGGUAGAAUUCCAGGUGUAGCGGUGAAAUGCGUAGAGAUCUGGAGGAAUACCGGUGGCGAAGGCGGCCCCCUGGACAAAGACUGACGCUCAGGUGCGAAAGCGUGGGGAGCAAACAGGAUUAGAUACCCGCGUAAG